UCCAUUAUGAGAUUUUACACGAGGGGCACCUUACACAGGUCCCAGUUCAACCCCGGUUUUUCAUAUGGUGGAAGAGGAUGGGUGGCCGGAGGGGUUGGCUGUUAUCUUUGGUUAUCUAGCUGUAUGAGUGUUAUUCAUUCUUCAUAAAGCUAGAUAACCGAAAGUAACAAGAAUCCCAUUACACACCUGAAAGGCAUCACCCCACCUUGAGAUCUAUACUUCCCCUCUCCUCUCCUCUUUUCCUUCUCCCUCUCUCCUCCUCAAUCUCUGCAUCUUAUUGCAAGAGCAAGCCACAAAAUGGCCUCCAUCACUGCUGAUAUAGAAGAUCAACCAUCCUUGAUGCCAGGGAAAGGAAAGAGUGAAGAAGCAGGGCAGGUCGGUUGUGUGGCUGUCGUCCUGCUGGCGUUGCUGCUCCCCUCCCCUUCGCUGCUCGCCUGCCCCCUUCCUCCUGUCACGAGAUGCAGUUUGCACAAAGCCACCAUCUUAGAGCAUGCGGGCAUUAAAUGGAAGUGGAAAAUAAGCAGGUUUUUAGAGUCAAGUCGAAUAACGUGAAAUCCAUUAAAUGGAGGAAUGUUCAUACCGACGGCUGAUGGAGUCAGACGGGUUACUUUACUAUGCAUGUGCCCCAACAUCAGAUAAAACAGCACUUUAAUUGUUCUCUAUGACUUAAAUCUUAGCAUUUGUGAAGCAGUUUUACUGUUUUAAUGGCCGUAUAUUGCGAGCCAAGUGUGUGUGUAUGUGUGUGUGUUAAAAAAUAGCUGAGAAACUAACUGUUAAUCUUUCUUUGUACGGGUCUGGGUCAAAGUACUCAACAAACUGUGUAUUUGUACAAACACACUAAUUUUCAAAUUCUCCAAGUAAAAAGGUUUUAUUCGGGCAGUUCUAAUUUAAUAAGGAUUUUGUAGAAAAUGUCAUUUUUAAAGGGCAACCAUUUUGGUACUUUUUGAUAAAAAAGAAUAUAAGAGAUAAAAAUGUGUGAAAGAUUAGGUUUGGCCUAUAAAUCUUAAAAACUGAUUUUAACACUCUGAUCGAGUCUGUCUUGGUACAAUCUUUAGCAUAAUGCACUUUAUAACACACAAACUGAUUUUUUAGUUCAAUAGUUUUCAAUAUUAAAGGACAAUGUAGUGGCCUGUUUAUAUUCCCUAAUGUAUUUCUCUAAUAACUGAUUACUAAUUGAAAUCUAACAUGAAUUAUUAGAAAUAAUGUGUGAGGCUCUGUAGAUUCUGCAUGUAUGAGUGUGAGACCCACGGCAGCAGUGAACGAUACUGCACUCUGAUUGGACAGCUCAGUGUGUUGUAUGUCACACACUUGGACAGAGAGCUGUUGUCUUUAAUUUCUAUGCAAUUGCGUUAGGCUUGCAAUCACCUGGAAGAGAAGGCAGAUCAGAGCAGCUAUUUAUGACAGCAGGUUAAAUUUGUUUUAAUGUGAGAGGAAUAUUUAGCUGAAUAAAUAUGAAUAUUUCAUUCCUCUGACUAAAACUGGUUUCCACAACAAACUGUAAAGUCACUGACCGCUAAAAGCAUCUUCAACUAGCUUUUGUGUUUUUUAUUUUUGUUUCAGCACUCAAAAUAACAAUUUUAAGAGGUAUUAAAUGCUCUCUAAAUGUCUCUCUGUAUUUUGUGUUAAAUCAAUCAUAGCUGAAGAGAACAUUCAGUAUUGAAUAUGCAAAUGUUUUAAGAAUGAUUUACAAUUUGAAGAGAAUUGUGCAAUCUAUUUUGUAAUUAUUUUUCUUAAUUUUAUUUUAAUUACAUUUAUAUUUUUCAGUAAAACUGAGAUAAUCCUUUUUUUUCCCCCUCAAAAUUUGACAAAUCAAGUAAUUGUAAAGACAAUGGAUUGAUGAAAUGGGGCCUUUUACUAUGCAAUUUUUAACCAUACUUUUCUGUGAUUUUGUAGAGAGUUAUGAUUUUCAGCUAGUCAUAGUCCUGUAAUGAUAAUGAUUUAAACAAUUAAAAUCAUAUUUUCUUUUAAUUUUGUAAUGCUAUAGUUUUAUUCUUUUUCUUACUGUAUGUUUUUGUUUAAUGUUGCAGUUAAACGCAAAUGUGUGAGAUAUUUUUGUUCACCAUGACUUAUUUUCUGUUUUACCACAUGUGCCUUUUAACAAUGUCCUGUUAUGGAUAUUAAUAAACGUUUACUUUGAAAACAAA